rnacentral:rRNA from 1 species
GCCUGAACGACUGGCGGGCGGUGGCUAAGACAUGCAAGUCGCACGGUGUAGCAAUACACAGUGGCGAACGGGUGAGUAAUGAAUCGCUAAUGUGCCCCGGACUCUGAGAUAGCUGCCCGAAAGGGCAGGUAAUAUCAGAUGAUAUAACUUUUCCGCAUGGAAGAGUUCUCAAAGGUCCGCCGGUCUGGGAGCAGGCGAUUUCGUAUCAGCUAG